CUUUUCCUGACUGGGAAACCAACCUCGCAUGCAUAUCUCUUAUAGAACUUAUAAACUUCAUUUUCAUCCUUGAACUUCAUACCCACCUCAAGCACAAUUACACCACCUCCUCCUCUCGUUUCAUCCACACAUACGUUCAUAUUGUCUUCCACAUUCACAUGCUCCAGUUCCAAUCUGACAUCAUCUUCCACUGCUUCCAUAAUUUCAUUGUGUGCAUCAAAAUUAAAUGUCCCAUUCAAAAACCAAUAACCCCAAAGUUGUUCCAAAGAUGCAAAUUAUGAAAACAUGUAGACUUUCAUUAUUGCAUCAAAAAAUGUAAUAAUAAAUAAUUUUCGAUUUUUCCAACUUUAAGGUGCCAUUGGUGGAUAACAUGAAAACCCUUGGCUACAAAUUAAUGCGGUCGGGAUUCAACAUUAGCAAGUGAAUGAUAUUGAUUUAGCAUUAAUGUAAGGGAUUUAACAUUAGCAAUUGAUAUUAUCGAAUUUCAUGACAAAUAUCUUCACAUAAUCUAUUUUUUUCCUUCUUCAUGCCAACAUUAUCUACGGUUUUCAUCGAGGUUUUGAGAUCGUACCCACCAGUGGUUGAGCUCUUUAGACUUGCUGCCGGAUAUAUAAAAUCUAGGUUGAUGAAAUGGUAAUCUCCUGUACCAAAGUCAAUGGCUGCUGCUGCCUUUAUCCAAAAUUGGCUGUAUUGUUGGGGAAAAUAUUGGAAUGUAUCUCUAAAUGGUAGGCUCAAGCUGGGUGGGUACGUCGUCGUCGGAAUGUGUGCAGAAAAACUAGCAUUUCAUGAAUAGUUUUGAAUGUUUUGGGGGUAGAUAUUGUUCUGUAAAUGGUGGGCUCACACCGGAUGGGUAGGCUGUCGCCGGGAAGGUUCUUCUCUGAUGCUAUCGUCCAAUGUUUAGGAGAAAAUUUGGGAAAAUUUUCAUGGAGGUCUAGUUCUGAAUGAGAGGAAAGUGGAUUUUUUUUGCCUUAUAGUGUUCAUUU
rnacentral:lncRNA from 1 species